rnacentral:tRNA from 1 species
GUUAUUAUAGUUUAAGGAGAAUAUUAUAUUGAAGAUAUAAGGGUGUGUUUCUGAUAAUG